UACGAAGGGGGCUAGCGUUGUUCGGAAUCACUGGGCGUAAAGGGCGCGUAGGCGGCUUGAUAAGUCGGGGGUGAAAGCCUGUGGCUCAACCACAGAAUUGCCUUCGAUACUGUCGAGCUUGAGACCGGAAGAGGUAAGUGGAACUGCGAGUGUAGAGGUGAAAUUCGUAGAUAUUCGCAAGAACACCAGUGGCGAAGGCGGCUUACUGGUCCGGUUCUGACGCUGAGGCGCGAAAAGCGUGGGGGAGCAAAACAGGG
rnacentral:rRNA from 1 species